AUUGAACGCUGGCGGCAGGCUUAACACAUGCAAGUCGAGCGAGCGGCGGACGGGUGAGUAAUGUCUGGGAAACUGCCUGAUGGAGGGGGAUAACUACUGGAAACGGUAGCUAAUACCGCAUACCAUCAGAUGUGCCCAGAUGGGAUUAGCUAGUAGGUGGGGUAAUGGCUCACCUCGGCGACGAUCCCUAGCUGGUCUGAGAGGAUGACCAGCCACACUGGAACUGAGACACGGUCCAGACUCCGACGUGAGGCAGCAGUGGGGAAGAUUGCACAAUGGGCGCAAGCCUGAUGCAGCCAUGCCGCGUGUGUGAAGAAGGCCUUCGGGUUGUAAAGCACUUUCAGCGAGGAGGCGUUACCGACAGAAGAAGCACCGGCUAACUCCGUGCCAGCAGCCGCGGUAAUAC
rnacentral:rRNA from 1 species